GGAUCUGACGUGGACGGCCCAGAUUUAACCUCUUAUUUAUUCUUCUUCCCCUCUCUCUGAAAGUGGAAAAUAUUCUCAAUUCAGGAAAAAAAAAAACCCAAUUUCGAUUCCGGUAUGAGUUGAGAUCACAAUCAUCAUCGUUCACCGGAAUAAAGUAAUUCCAAUUGUCUUGAGGUGAAAGCCAUGGCGGAAAACGGCGCUUCAUCCCCUAAAACACUACAACCCACAAACCCCAGCAUGGACCCGACGUCGACGACAACCUCAACAGUAGCAGCAGCGGCUGCCAUGGCCAUGGGUAGCCCCGCUAAUGUCACUAACACUAUGAUUUCUCAAAACCCAUCAAAUUUAUCAAAUUCUUCGAUGAACCCACAAAUCCAGUCUCCUUCUACUCUCUCACAAUCCCCUCAAAUUUCGUCUCCUCCACUUCCCCCACUUUCCAACGUCUCUCUCCCCCAAUCACAACAACAACAGCAAAUCUCUCCCUCUGUUGGAUUGGAUUUCCAGUCAAAAACCCAUCUUCAGCCGCAGCAAGCUCAGAAUGUAAAUUCCAUGUCGAAUUUUCAACUCCAGCAAAGCCUACAACGGUCUCCGUCGAUGACGCGAUUGAAUCAAAUUCAGCAGCAGCAAAGUCAGCAACAGCAGCUUGGGUUGAUGAGGCAACAAGCAAGCUUAUACGGGCAGAUGAAUUUCGGUGGUUCGGCUUCAAUUCAGCAGCAGACUCAGCAACAACAACAGCAGCAAAUGGGUUCAGGGAAUUUGUCACGAUCGGCUUUGAUUGGUCAAAGUGGGCAGCUACCAGUGUUGCCUAGCGCAGCUGCCGCACAAUUUAAUUUGCAGAAUCCGAUGCUAACCUCGCCUAGGCAAAAAGCUGCAUUAGUACAAGGAUCACAGCUCCAUGGAAGUAAUUCUGCUGGGCAGGCUUUACAAGGAAUGCAAGCUAUGGGGAUGAUGGGGUACUCACAACUGAGAGCUAAUGGGGCUCUGGCUUCUUAUGCUGCUCAGCAGCGAUUGAAUCCGGGUCAGUUGAGGCAACAAUUAUCCCAACAAAGCUCGCUUACCUCUCCUCAGGUUCAAAACUUACCGAGGUCUUCAUCACUGGCAUUUAUGAAUUCUCAGCUGUCUGGAUUAACUCAGAAUGGACAAGCAGGUUUGCAGAACCCCUUGUCGCAUCAGUGGUUAAAACAAAUUCCUGCAAUAUCUGGCCCCGGUUCACCUUCAUUCCGUCUUCAACAGCAUCAGCGGCAACAGCAGCAGCAGGCUAUCUUGCAGCAGCAUCUGGCUUCAGCUCCUCAGUUGCAUCAAACUUCAAUGGCCCUGAACCCACAACAGUUAUCCCAGAUUGUGCAGAAUCAAUCACCAAUGGGUCAUCCUCAGUUGCAGCAACAACAACAGCAGCAGCAACAACAACAACAGCAACAACAACAACAACAGCAACUACAGCUGCCACAACAACAACAGCAACUACAGCUGCCACAACAACAGUCACAACAACAGCCUUCCUUGAGUCUUCAGCAGCAACACUCCCCAAGAAUCCAGGGGCCCUCAGGCCAAAAGUCUCUUAGCUUAACAGGAUCUCAACCAGAUGCUACUGCAUCAGGAACAACUACACCUGGGGGAAGUUCAAGCCAAGGAACAGAGGCAACUAAUCAGCUUCUUGGGAAAAGGAAGAUACAAGAUUUAGUUUCACAGGUGGAUUCUCAGGCAACUAUAGACCCCGAAGUUGAAGAUAUUCUUUUGGAGAUAGGCGAUGACUUUAUUGACAAUGUGACAACAUUUAUAUGCAAUUUGGCAAAGCACCGUAAAUCUUCAACAGUAGAGUCCAAGGAUUUAUUGCUACACCUAGAAAAAAAUUGGAAAUUGACAGUUCCAGGAUUUGAAGAACAGAAGUUCCAAAACAGACCAUCAGUAAAUGAUCUUCACAAAAAACGUAUGGACAUGAUACGAACAUAUAUGGAAUCCUCACGGGCUGAAACAAACACAAUUAAUCGUAAAGAUAUUAUUAGACAAGGGCUUGGUAACCCAGUUGGCACUAACCACCUUCAACGACCUUCCCUUAGCUCAGAGCAGUUGAUUACACAACCAACUGGUUCCCAAAUGUUGCAGCAAAUGACACGAUACUAAUCAAUAUACCUCGUUAUAUCAUACUUUUUUUUGUUUGGUCUUCUUGCUGAUGAUUGAACACAAGGCCUGUACCUCAUCGGUUGUUUUUGGCCAAAAGCAAAGAUAUUGUUUGGAAAUGAUGAAAGCACAACACAAGCUGUAAUUAGUUUUCUUUAGUGUUUAAAGACCUGAGAGAACCAUAUUUGAUAAUAAGUCAAAAUCCACCUCUAUAUCACUGUUCCUGUGUAUUCCUUUUAUCAUUUGAUUCGCCCCAAGUGCCAUUUGAAUGGGCAUAUGAGGCCAACCACAUUAGAGCUUUGCUUGGUUGGUCUCUGUAAUCUAAUUUAUUUAUUUAUAGACAAAGGGUGUUUUUUUCUUUUUAUUUGUCUUCUUUCUACUUGCAAUCUUCUUUAUAGUCUAUAAAUAUAUAUAAAUAUCUUAACCUGAAAA